rnacentral:misc_RNA from 1 species
UCAAACUUGGUCAUUUAGAGGAAGUAAAAGUCGUAACAAGGUUUCCGUAGGUGAACCUGCGGAAGGAUCAUUAAUGAAAACCAAGGAGCUGCUGCUGGCCUUUUCCGAGGCAUGUGCACGUUCCGUUCUUCAUUUCCACUCACACCUGUGCACUACGUUUGAAAGGCUUCGGCCUUUCCUUUCACACACAUUUUGAAAUCAUGGAACGAUGUUUGUAACAUAACAAAUGUAACAACUUUCAACAACGGAUCUCUUGGCUCUCGCAUCGAUGAAGAACGCAGC